CCUCGCCUCGGCUUCUCCGGUUCCCUUCCUAAACCCUCUCUCCCCUUCGCUUGCUAGGCUGCAGCUAAGCUACCCCUACCAGAUUACCCCCGCCAAAUCCACUACCGCGGCACCGCCUCCUCCGGCGAGAUGCUGCGGCCGCUCCGCCGCCUAUCCGGCCCCCUCCGCCGCUCCCUCUCCACCGCCUCUUGGCGCCCCGCCUGGGCCAUGAUUUACCGGAUCUCCACGGCGGAGGAGUCCGCGGCCGCGCGGGGCGUCUCCCUCGCGCUCGCCCCGCCCCCGCUCGCCUCCCGCGUCUCCGUCCCAAGGCACGCCUUCGGUCUCGACCCGCUCCCGGACACGGCCAGCUCCGACGGCCAGCCCUCCAACUUCUUCGACUUCGGCAGCCUGGCCCCCGAGCAGGGCUCUCCCCAACCGGCCAGCACCCUUGUCGAUAUCUUCGGCAGCGGCGUGCUCGCCGCGAGCAGCGACGGCCUCCUCCUGCUCGGCACGUUCAGGAACCGCGCCGACCCCACGGGGAUGUUCGAGUACCAGGGCCCGUCCACCGCCCCGUUCGAGGUCCUCGACCAGGCCUACGCUCGCUCCUACUGCUGCGACAUCAUGAGGCUCGCGCGCUUCGUCUGCAACCCCGUCACCGGCGAGAUGGCCCGCCUUCCGGACUUCGACGGCACGGAGGACGCCUUCACCGCCUCCACGGGCCUCCUCACCCAGGCCGACGGUGGGCACGGACCACCCAGGAGGUACGCCGCUGCGCAGCUCAGCUUGGUCGGCGAUGGGCGGCGUUUCCUGCUGCGCCGGCUCUCCUCGGAGACAGGGGAGUGGGACGAGCUGCUGCUGCCGUCCCCGCUACCGGCUGGGCGCCUCAUGUACAUGAACCACGAGGUGCUGGACUUCGGAGGGCGGCUCUGGUGGGUAGACGUGAGCUGGGGCGCCGUCAACGUCGACCCGUUCAGCGACCGGCCCGAGCUCUGCCUCGUCGAGCUGCCGGGAGACAUCAUGCUUCCUGACCAACAGGGCGAGGCAGAGAUGAGGCAGCUCCUCCAGCACAGGCGCAUGGGGGUCAGCGACGGCAGGCUGAGGUUUGUGGAGGUUUCCAAGGACGAGCCCUUCAACAUCAAGUCGUUCAUGCUUGAUGAACAGAGUGGCCGCUGGAUGCUGGAGCACAUGGUGACCUGGAAAACUCUCUGCCCCGGAGGCAAGGUGGCGCCUAUGAUUGCUGCUAUCGAUCCGAUGAGCGCCGACUUAGUGCAUCUCACUGUGCCCGUGGGCAAUGGAUAUUUUGUAAGUGUUGACAUGCGCUGGAAGAGGCCGGUUGAGUGUGUGGACUUCGGAAGUGGCGUUCAUCCAAGCAAGUGCAUCUCAAGUUUCGUUCUGCCAUGUGUGCUCCCCUCAUUUCUCGGAUCAAGCCCGAUUCCAGAUAUGCAUCCGCGGAGGCUAUUCAGCUAUGCCACAAGCUUCCAGCGCAAACAAAUACCGGUCAUUCGUCAACUUCUGUUCAGUCAUGAGUAUGAGGCGAAGAAUGAAAUAUGGUGUCCUUUUGAGCAGAUGCUGGUGAAGGGAAGUAUGCUGAAGAGCCUUGUUCCAGGCGGGCUUAUAAGGGUAGAAGAUAUAAUCCGCAAUGGCCAUUACAGUACUGGGAAGCUGGCACUCCUAUCUCUUCGUGAUUUAGUAGAUCUAGCAACUGUUAAUCUGAUGAGAGGCGUCAAUGUUAGUGAGCUUAUUGUCUUGGAAAACCUAUUGUGGGCUCCCUCAGCUCGGGGCAUUAUGUUCAAGCAUACGAAUCUAAUCAACAAUGGAGAAGAAACUGGGUGCCCCUAUCUCUCAAUUUAUGAGCUUUUCAAACUUGCAGUUCUCAUAACAACAGGAAAGCCAAUCAAGGAAGUAAAUUUGCCCGCUGAUCUCGCACACUUUCUACAGUAUUUACAGAGAGCAACCAACAUAGAUAAAAGAUUGAUUACAAACCACUCAGCCACCAGAUUUCCGGAGGAGAGGAUUCAGAGGAACAAGUCAUACAAUUAUCUGUUUCGGACUGAAUUCAAGCACUUUUAUGCAACGCCAGCUGCAGCGCGAAGUUACUACGUGUUUGAGGCAUUGGGGCUAAUCUUCCCCCAGGAGCUGUUAACACCUGCAGGUCUUCAUCCAUUGAUCGAUUAUUGGGCUUCUUACAAUCAAGAGAUGAUCCGUCAGCAGUCUGGAAAUGGAGUCAUCCUGACCCAUCAAUGCCCAAUUGUUGUUCCUCGAUUUAAUACUGUUUAUGAACUCGGAAACCGGUUGAUUGCACUCUGUAGGGAUCCCUUUGAACAUCCCUAUGGACCAUUAUAUGCUGAUCCAUCAUAUGCUGAUCUUUAUCCGUACCUUGAGAUGGGCUACAGCAUUUUUCAAAUAGAGCAGCUAAUAAAUCACCUAAUUCCACUGUAUGGGCCUACCGCCGAUGAACAAAUUCUGGUGCACAAAUUGUGGGAUAAUGUGUUCACUGGUCAGCGGCCACUGCCCCCACAUGCUAAUUGGACUGAUAUAAGUGGCGUGCGGAACCAGGCAAGAUGAACGCCGAGAAAAACAAGACUUUGGCAGAUGUUCUUGUUCGCUCAGACACCCCGUAGGAAGGACGAAGGUUUCUCAGAACUGCAGAUGCUGCUCUAUAAUCAGUUAUGAAGUUUUUUUGUGGGGUAAUCAAUUAGGAAGCUGAUGGUGGUAGUUUACUGAACUCUCAAAAGGGCAACCUGGUGCAUGUAGCUCCCGCUUGCGCAGGGUCCAGGGAAGGGUCCGACCACUUUGGGUCUAUAGUACGCAGCCUUUCCCUACAUUUCUGUAAGAGGCUGUUUCCAGGACUUGAACCCAUGACCUCAUGGUCACAAGGCAGCAGCUUUACCACUGCGCCAAGGCUCCCCUUCAGUUUACUGAACUCUCAUUUUGGGGGAAAUCUGGAGAUGUCUUGGUCUGAUGGAGUUUUGUGAUCAACUUACUGUAUCCCGUUUUGAGGGCAAGUUGUGGAGAUUUUCUAGGCGAUAGGUUCACGGCAGAGCAUUCCAGCAAAUUUGCAAAAUUAAUCAGCAUGUAACGUCCAUCACCGAACGUUUAGUAGCUAGAUGAUACAUUCUUAGGGAAAGAUUGCUGCUUGGACAUGUUUAAUGUUAGGAGAAAGCUUAUGGAUCUCUGUGUAUGUUAUCCAUGCGGCAUUGGCGGUUUGUUCCACUUCUAAUGUAGUAUUAGUAUUCAUGCGCUGAGUA